rnacentral:sRNA from 1 species
CUGUGAGGGAGACCUGUCUGGGACAUCUGUCACCCCAUUCAUUGCCAAGAUGAUCCAACUGGUAUGUGUGUCAGCUGUCUCCUUUCUCUAUCCCUGAUCCAUAUACAUUUUUCCUGAAGCUGCACCCUGGGUUGAAAACUUUCUGCAACAGAAGAAUAAUUAUAUUCUCUUGCUAGGUCCUCCAAACAAAUCUCAAGAAAAAAAUGGAAACAUCAUUAAUACAUGACUAUAA